rnacentral:lncRNA from 1 species
UACAAGACUGCUUGUACAUGCCAAUCCAAUACCUACAAAAAUACUACCAGAUUAAAAGUUGUAGGCAACAUGAGAAAAAUACAAUUCCAAGUUGUAAAAUUAUCAUCAUAGAGUUCAUAAUUGGCUGAUUGUGCUAUUAACUUCUCUUUUUCCCCAAAGAAAAGGGAGGGAAAUGGAACAAUCAAAUACAAGUAUUCAAUUAUUUAACUCAUGCAGGAUAUUUUAGUUACUUAUGUUAUUGGUCAUAAUUGAUAACUACUAGAAAUAACUACCAACUAUCUACUGCAAAUUAAUCUAUUAAUAAAUAAUAAUAUUUAUUUUGUUUAUAUUAUGAUAGAUUAUUUUCACUUGUGUAUGUAUAUUUUUCUUGUGGAAUAAACAAAAAAAAAUAAUAGAUGAUUAUAUUUAAUUUGUUUAUGUUAUGAUAGACUAUUUUCACCUGUGUACUUAUAAUUUUCUUAGGAAAUAAAAAGAAAAGAAUAAAUGAUAAUAUUUAUUUUAUUUAUGUUAUGAUGGACUUUUGAGCAUGUAUAAUUUUCUCGUGGAAUAGACAAAAAAAAUAAAAUAAUAGCAGACUAGCAGUAGAUUAAAAUGAAAGAAAAUUUAUAAAUAUCUUGUAAAGUUUGGCAUAACCUGCACUUACAUCUUUUAUUUUUUAAUAAUAUACAUUUUCAUUUUUCGUAUUAAUUAUCGUCUAUUUAAGUGUUAGUACUGUAUGAAAUUACUGAAAAUGACUAUAAAUUUUGCUCAAUUUUAUAUUUUUAUUAUUUUUUUUAAAUGGAAGAAAAUAAAAUGCUGCAUUUUUUUAAUUUAAGUGAAAAAUAUCUCUAUCCAUUCUAAAAUAUAUUUCAAUUUAAUAUAGACACACACAAGAGUAAAAAUAUCUUUUUAAGUUAGUAAAAUAUAUCAUCUCAUUACUUUAACUAAUUUAAAAUUUAUUAAACUAAUAGACUACUAACGGAAUGACUCUAACAGAAUGACUAUUAUGGUGAACGACAUUUAAAAAAGAGGGAUGAAAAUGCAUAUUUUUACAAAUUAGAGAACUCAAGUGCAGAUUACACUGAAUAUCAUGGGGCACUUGCAAUUACCUCUAAAGAUGAAAUAGUGAAUAAAAAAGAAAGACUAGGGUUGGGGGGUCCGUCUCCGUCUCCGUCUCCGUCUCGGUCCUGAGUGCGCGCGUAGAAGUUAGUAGUGGAGUGGAGGUGGUGGUUAUUUACUUAUUAAGCGUGAGUGAGUGGUGUCGGAGUUGUUGCAUAAAUUGGUUGUCACAUAGUGAGCAACAUCACCACUCCACCACCCACCCUUCCCACGCUACCAUCUCUUUCUCUCUCUUUCUCUUUCUAUCUCAUAACUACUUCCCACCCACUUUCUAUCCAUUACCCAACUAUGAUACCCACCGCCACCGCCUCCCCACCCCCANN